AUGAGGCCCAAGCAAACGGAAGGGAGCAGCAUACAAGCAGCACCGUCGGCAACAACUGGCAUCGAAAGAUCAUUUGGACUUGGCGGAGCUGAAGCUCCCGGCGGCGGCGACUUGGGCGGCCGCCAAUCUGAGAUGCCCAAGGAAGAUCAGAGGACAUCUAAGCCUGUCCCCAUCAAUUCUACCAUGAACAAAGAGGAGAAAUGGCUGGACAAAGUUCUAGAUCGGAUAUUGGAGAAGUUUGAACAAAUGGAGGCCAAGCGCAUGCAAGAGGAGAAGAUCAAUCGGAUAUUUCAAAAGUUGGAAGAGAUAGAGGUUCGUAGGAGCAAGGCUUCCGAGGAAAUAAUUGCAGCCAUCAGGGCAACCACCACUGUUCUCAAGGCUACAUCACCUACAGCACCUAUGGCACCACCUACUCCAGUGCCUACCAAGUGUUUGACAGAAUGCCCCAACAACAACUUCACUUGGGCAACGGCGAGUUCAAGUCACAUUGGGCUGAAGCUUGGUGAUGCCAUCUGUGUGGGAGAUCAGGUGCCUAUGAAGUGUUCGAUGAAAUGUACUGAGAGUGACAAUAAGCCACUGAUGGAACACCCCAAGAAAAACCCAUGGCCACCUGCCUGGUCAGGAUGGAAGAAGUGGUAUAUGACCUGGACUGCAAUUAAUCAUCAUUGGAUGAGAUUCUAUUUCGUCCCACCCUGGCCUCCACCAAGUCUAGUCAGUUUGACAUCACUUGCUAGCAAGGAAAGCAAUCUAGUUAUUUCUGAUCCUGAAUCAUUAUCUGUUUGGUUAUCAUCUAUUGAUCUCUGGGGGAUGUUGCUCAACUACUACCCAACUAUAGUGGAGAAAUGGAAUAUGAGAAUAAUUUGCAUGGUGAUAUCAGAAUCUGAAUCAUGUUUGGAAUCAAAUUACAUUGGUUUGAAUGUUGAAAGAGAUUUCCUAUAUGUGAUUGCUGAAGAAAAAGGUUGCAAAAGGAUGAAAGGAAUGGAAGUAGACACUAAUUCAAUUCAUGAUGAGAAGUAUACUUUU
rnacentral:lncRNA from 1 species